rnacentral:lncRNA from 1 species
CGGUAGUUAUGUUGUACAACAAUUACAAAAUAGUAUUAGUAUUCCGUCCACGAUAGAGUCAUCCAUGCACUUGGGAUGUUGCUCGACUUUCGGAAGCGCCUCGUGUUGACGCUACUCUGGCUUUUGGUAAAUACAAAGACUAAUAAUUGUUUAUGAUUUUCUCCACUAUAUCUAGGAACAAUCUCAGUCUGGCAACGCUAAAUUGCAAAUUCAAGAUACUGACGAUGAAGACGAUCAAACAAAAUUCAGUACGUUUUCUCGGAAACGUUAAAGUAUAUAAGUAUGAAUGUAUGAUGAUGAACUUGUGGACUAUUAUAACGCCUAGCUUUCAGUCCGGCAUUAAUGAGGCUUAUUCCCCAGAUCUGUUUUUAACAUUGGUUCAUUUGUCAACGUGAGUUAAACCAUGUUGUAUUAAUUAAGUGGUGCUUUAUAGUUAAAGGAUGUAAUAGUGUGUACAUAGAAAUUAAAUUGCUGCGAUCAGUUUAUUUUGAAAUUAGAGGGAAGUUAUAUUAAGGUUUCCACUUACAGCGUAGCUCGGACUCCAUUAGCAGGAGUGGAGAAGUAUCAAUAAAACUACGAAUAUUACCAAGUACCAUUAACAAGUAAAACCUCGCACGUUGCUGGCUACUUAAGGCCAUGACACACGCGGCAAUUUUUUCUGCAACUUGCAAUGCAAUUUCGGAUUUAUUUUGUAGCUAUUUUGCAAUAACAAUAAAUAUCAGACGAAAUCGAUAAAUUGGU